UAAAUAAAACUAUGGAAAAGUAUGGAGAGCUAAUGGAAUAUUUGUAUAAUGCGUACAAUGGAAGUUUAGGGAGUAUUAGAGAUAUAACCAUUAGUGUUA